rnacentral:rRNA from 1 species
AUGCACCAUCACGGUCCUCAAAGAGCCACCGGCUAUGGCAACACCACGGUGCCCGUGCCGACCUCCAAUCUGCAAAGGCAACUCCGUGAGCUCUUGUGUAGCGGGAUGGGAGCCGAUGUCACAUUUGUUGUGGCUGGCGAGUCCUUUGCUUCCCACAAGGCCAUACUUGCUGUGAGGUCCCCUGUUCUCAUGGCCGAGUUCUUCGGGCACAUGAGGGAGAGGAGCGAUGAACGCGUCUUGGUCCAGGAUAUGGAGGCGGCAGCAUUCAAGGCCAUGCUGCAUUUCAUCUACACGGAAGCGGUUGCUCAACUUGACGGCGAGCAGUAGGCUGCGACGACGAUGGCGCAGCAUUUGCGAGCGGCUGCUGACAGGUACGGGCUGUACAGGCUCAAAGUCAUCUGCGAGGGCGAGCUCUGCCGUGGCAUCACCGUUGACACAGCGGCGACGACUCUGGCAUUGUCUGACCAGCACAACUGCUCGUUCCUUAAGGCCUAGUGCGUCGAGUUCAUCAUCAGCACUCCUGCGAUCCUUGACGUUGUGGUGGCAACGGAGGGGUAUAAGCAUCUGGAGGCAAGCUGUCCUUCCGUGCUUACCAGCAUUGUCCUUUGUAUGCGUGGUAGAAGGAACUGA